UGGAUCCUCUUCUUAUCGCUGUGGCAACAUACAUGGCAGAGGUAAAAGAGGAGAGUUUCAUUUUGGCUCACAGUCUCGGAGGUAUUGACUCAGUCAUGGGAUAUAGAUACUGAUGGGGGUGGUAGCUUGACACGUGGUGUCUUCAUUUUAGUGAAUCAGGAAAAAAAACAGACUAAAAAUCAGAUUAGGUCAUAAACCCUAAAGUUCCACAUUCCACAGGGACCAACAUGUACCAACCAGGCCUUAUGUCCCAAGAGUUCCAUCACAUAAGGCAUCUGCACUAGCUAUCUCCCCAUUGAGUCUGCAGAUCAACACUGUAACAGUUAUUAUAACCGUUUUGAAAUAUUUUGAAUAUUCAAAAAGCUUUUACACUGCACAUGAAGCAGUAGAUUGCCAUAGCCCAGCAACAAUAAAUCUGAGGUUCUACUCUGAGGAGCUGUGAUUACAGACCUGGGUGUCAUCACCCUGGUUUGUGCUGAGGACUGAAGUCAAGUGAGACCUCAGAGAAGGAGUUCUUACAAGAUAACAGACUGAAAUCUAAUCGUAUCAAUUAUCCACUAACUGUGUGAUCUAAUCUGUUCAAACUGUCAAACUAAA